rnacentral:rRNA from 1 species
AACGCGAAGAACCUUACCUGGACUUGACAUGCACUUGACCGCUCCAGAGAUGGAGUUUUUUCGCAAGAAACAGGUGCACAGGUGCUGCAUGGCUGUCGUCAGCUCGUGCCGUGAGGUGUUGGGUUAAGUCCCGCAACGAGCGCAACCCUUGUCGUUAGUUGCCAACACGUGAUGGUGGGCACUCUAGCGAGACUGCCUGGGUUAACCAGGAGGAAGGUGAGGAUGACGUCAAGUCCGCAUGGCCUUUAUGUCCAGGGCUACACACGUGCUACAAUGGUCGGUACAGAAGGCAGCAAUACCGUGAGGUGGAGCAAAUCCUAAAAGCCGGCCCCAGUUCAGAUUGGAGUCUGCAACUCGACUCCAUGAAGAUGGAAUUGCUAGUAAUGGCGGGUCAGCAACACCGCCGUGAAUACGUUCCCGGGCCUUGUACACACCGCGAGC